UCAUUGGGUCCUAGUCCAGAGCUUCUGAAUUAGAAACUCAAGGGGUGGGAACCACCACCCAGUUUGUAACAAGCCAUCCAGGUGAUUCUGAUGCUUGCUUAAGUUGGAGAACUAGUGUUCUGGGAAACUGAACCAAUAGCAUUGGCUGUAAGCCAUAGAGUAAUUUAUAAGGAACUGUGGGAGCCAAUGAGCUCAUUUCCAAGGAAUCGUACUCAACUUUGAAGAAGCUUGGAUAGCUGGCUGUGUAUAUCCAGAAAUAUACACUGUUGUCCUUCCAUGUGGCCCAGGAAAGAUGAAGACCAGAGAAUUCUAAAUGUACCUAGCAUAUAUUAAUCAGUAAAAUGGACAGAUUCCUACCUUUUGUGGAGUUUAUAUACAAGCACAUACAGAAAUACAGCAAAUGGUACACCAAACAAAUAGAUCUUGGUUGCCUUCCUUUCUGCUUGAGACGGGGACUGCAGAAGCAGUAUCUAUGAAAAAAAUCAGAUGUCAAACAUCCACUGUGCUUUCCUAGUUUGAAUUUGCAAAUGAGGGAGAUGGUAUCUGAUUCAGAAUAAACCAGGUUCUCACAUAUGAUGUGUUAUCAUUUCCAUAUUAUUACUCGAGGAGCACUGAAUAGAUUUAAGGUAUAGGAUAAGGAAAAUUAGGCCAAUGUAGUUCAACUCUUAUUUUAAAUAUAAAAAGCCACAAAAGAAUUUGUCCUUCACUUGGCUGUCAUAGGUAAGGGUGCUUUUUUCCUGAUGUUCUAUAGACAUCUGUUUAAUGAAUUCCAUUUGGGCUCUGACAUGCUGAAAAUGAAAAUUUUGCUGACAAUUUGGUCCAAGAAGCAUCAUGCUAGAAAUGAGAGAAUGUCAUCUUAGGACAAGAAAACUUGAUCUUAUUCUUUUUCUGUUAUUAAUUAGUGUCAUUAGCUGGUAUGAUUUUCUCAACCAUGUUCGGCAUGUCUCUGAUCCUUUAUAUAUGCAAUAAUGGAGAGGAAAAGGACAUUGAGUGCCUACUUUAUGCAAAAUGCUUUACCAAACUUCUGUGGUACUAAACUUUUCAGUGAUAUCAUUUGAAAAGUUAACAUAAUAAUGUAAGAUUGGCAUUCAGAGAAACUAUGUCAUUUUCCCAAAAUUAUGUGAAAUACGUGGCAAAUCUAAAUUCCAGUCAAUCUGAAUCCAAAGUUUACAAUGAUAACUAUGUAUAUGAAAGUCUAGAAAACAAGAGCUUCUUCCUGUUCUAACAUUUUUUGACUGCCAUCUUAAGGUUUGGUGGAGUUUUCAUACAGUGGCAAGAUAGAAGACUAGAGCAAUAGUUUUGCUAACCCUUAAUCCCUGUUUAAACUCUGACUCCUUUAUGGAACAAGACAAGUUUGUAUUUACCAUGCUUCCAAAUCAAGUCACAUCAGAAAGUAGAAUUAUUGAUUGGCUAGUCAAAAAGACAACUUCCAUUGUGUGUUAAAAAAGUAAGGAGCAUGUCAAAAUAAUACUCAAUUUAAUCAAUGUUAAUUCAUUCCCUUGGGCCUUCUGCAGAUUGGAAUUCUGAUUUUGUGAAGCUUCUAUAUCUAGCACAAUGGGAAUUUUGAACUCAUGUUUUCUUAGAAGUCUUAAAAUGAGUAGUUUCCUUUUUUGUUAUAGUAGCCACAAAACAUGUGUUUUUCUAUCUUUAUUUCUGUGUUCAUAUUAUCACUGCCUGAAGUGUCAUACCUUUUCCCCCUCUGAAUU